AGUAUUUUCCUCUUUGCAGCAAUUUCAGAUGUGUUGUUUCUGGUUAUUUAACUUUUACUACUUUUAAAAAGAAUAUUAGAAGAUUUUUAUGAUGUCAACACCAACAGAGGAUGAAAACACUAUAGAAUUUAGUUUAUUUGAUCUAGUCAAUAAAGAUUUAAAAUAAUUCUUUUUGGAAGAAAAAGUAAAAAUGAGAAAGUGGUGGUGAUAUCAGUAUUCGGCAAGACUUCCCUGAAUUCAUCUCAAUUUAAGGAUCAUCUCAUUGCUGAGGUUUUGAAUGAACAUAUUUUUGAGAAUGAAGAAGCUUGUCAGUCUACUUCUAGGAGUUGUGAAGUAAAAGGAUAUUACGAUCCUUCUGUCAGCGCCAUAUUUCUUCAAGCAACUGGCAUAUCUGAUACAAGUGUUUUAGUUCGUAAAUGUAAAGAGUUAGGAACAGAGUUGGAAGCAAAGGUAAAAAUCAAAAUUUGUGUUUUAA
rnacentral:lncRNA from 1 species